AUUGAACGCUGGCGGCAGGCCUAACACAUGCAAGUCGAGCGAGCGGCGGACGGGUGAGUAAUGUCUGGGGACUGCCUGAUAGAGGGGGAUAACUACUGGAAACGGUAGCUAAUACCGCAUACUAUCGGCUUGCCCAUAUGGGAUUAGCUAGUAGGUGAGGUAAUGGCUCACCUAGGCGACGAUCCCUAGCUGGUCUGAGAGGAUGAUCAGCCACACUGGAACUGAGACACGGGCCAGACUCCUACGGAGGCAGCAGUGGGGAAUAUUGCACAAUGGGCGCAAGCCUGAUGCAGCCAUGCCGCGUGUAUGAAGAAGGCCCUAGGGUUGUAAAGUACUUUCAGUCGGGAGGCGUUACCGACAGAAGAAGCACCGGCUAACUCCGUGCCAGCAGCCGCGGUAAUUC
rnacentral:rRNA from 1 species